rnacentral:lncRNA from 10 species
UUUUUUUUCACCCUGCUUUAAAAGCCCUUGGGCCCUUCCCAGCUGGGUGCCAGCCAACUGUGGCUGCCUGGGACACUCCAUCUUAAGUCCCUGUGCCUCUGCUGUGUGUUACUGAGUGCCUAGGCCGUGCCAGCCUGUAUUCAUCUGUACUAUGACCUGAAGAGGCAGAGGCCAUCACUGUUGGUCCGGUCUCCACCUGGGGAAACUGAGGUGUCUCUGUGGUGACGAGCAGGGCUUCAUCCAGUGCCUCUGUCCCCACCGAGGGGACUAUGGGAGACAUGGAGGGUGUGUGAGCAACAGGUGAGACUGGAGCCAGCUGAAAACUGGGAGACCGACCCAGCCAACAAACAAUGUCGGUCUCUGUCUUGGCACCUGCAGGAAACAAGCUCCUACUUCCAGAAAAAGUGCUCCUGGGACUCCAGGAUACCAGGUAAACUCUCUGAGCCUGUUUCUUCAUCUGCAAAGGGGAAUAACAGGGCCAGCCUCAGACACU